CGUAACAAGGUUUCCGUAGGUGAACCUGCGGAAGGAUCAUUAACGAGUUGAACGGGGUUGUAGCUGGCCUUCACAGGCAUGUGCACACCUCACUCAUCCACUCUACACCUGUGCACUUACUGUGGGUUUCGAGAGGCCGCGCUUGCGUGGUUGAUCGGGCUCACGUCUAUUACAAACUCUUCAGUAUCAGAAUGUGUAUCGCGAUGUAACGCAUCUAUAUACAACUUUCAGCAACGGAUCUCUUGGCUCUCGCAUCGAUGAAGAACGCAGCGAAAUGCGAUAAGUAAUGUGAAUUGCAGAAUUCAGUGAAUCAUCGAAUCUUUGAACGCACCUUGCGCUCCUUGGUAUUCCGAGGAGCAUGCCUGUUUGAGUGUCGUGUAAUUCUCAACCUAUAAAUCCUUGUGGUUUUUAGGCUUGGACUUGGAGGCUUUUGCUGGCUUUACCGUCGGCUCCUCUUAAAUGCAUUAGCUUGAUUCCUUGCGGAUCGGCUCUCAGUGUGAUAAUUAUCUGCGCUGUGACCGUGAAGCGUUUGGUGAGCUUCUAACCGUCUCUUUGAGACAAACACUUUGACAUCUGACCUCAAAUC
rnacentral:rRNA from 1 species